rfam:Leptospira biflexa serovar Patoc strain &apos;Patoc 1 (Paris)&apos; chromosome I, complete sequence.
AUCAAUCCCGGCGCCAGCGAUAGAAGCGGAAAUCCUUUCCGAUAGGAAAGAUUGGAGCGGAUAGCGCGGUCGUGU